CGGCAAAAAGGCUUUUCAAAGGCGGUUUUUAGAACUGCCUCAAAACAAAGGUCACGGUUAAUCAAGGCCUUUACCGAGGUGGUUUGCCUGCCCGCCUCAGUAAAUCAAAAUAAAAAGUGAAAAAGAAAAAUCCAUGGACAGGCCCAGCGAGCCCAUGCAUAGGCCGACCGAGCCCAUCCACAGACACAUCGCUAUCGCAUCCGCUCUGUCGUGCUUUGAAUUAGAUCUGACCACCAUUUCCCUCGAUCCGUAGCUUCCUUCCUCACCGUUGCCAUGAC
rnacentral:lncRNA from 1 species